UCUAGAUUAAUUUUCUAUAUAAGUAGUAUAAAUCUUCAAAUUCCGUUUGUGAUUCGCAAUAAAGCUUAAAUCAGGUCACGUUUUUUCAAAAUGUCUUAAGUACCCAUCGAACUCUUUCACUUCCUGUGAUUAAACACAAAUCAACAAAUGAUGUCGAACAUUCAAAUUUUCUUGUUUGUCGUGGUCGCCUUUUUAAAAAAUAUUUCAAAUAUUAAUGCACAGUGCUGUAUCAAUAGUAUGGACCUUUGGGGUAUCGACAGUAGUUUGAGUCAGCUCAAAAAUAUAAAUGACAAAUUACAGUACAUUGCUGAUUCGAAAUACCGGGAAUUUGAUCAAAUAAAGAACGUAUAUAUCCCACUUCUAGGCGCCUGUUGCGGUUUACUUGCAUUCGUAUUGUUAGCUUUGUUGUAUAUAAUAUAUCAGAUUCAUAAAAAACAAAAAUAGCUAAGUGUAUAAUUUGUAUUUAUUAUCUAUAAAUAUAAUAAAAUAGAGAAUAUUUUAAACAAA